AACGAACGCUGGCGGCUUGCCUAACACAUGCAAGUCGAACGAGACCUUCGGGUCUAGUGGCGCACGGGUGCGUAACGCGUGGGAACCUGCCCUUAGGUUCGGAAUAACUCCCCGAAAGGGGUGCUAAUACCGAUAAUGUCUUCGGACCAAAGAUUUAUCGCCUUUGGAUGGGCCCGCGUUGGAUUAGCUAGUUGGUAGGGUAAAAGCCUACCAAGGCGACGAUCCAUAGCUGGUCUGAGAGGAUGAUCAGCCACACUGGGACUGAGACACGGCCCAGACUCCUACGGGAGGCAGCAGUGGGGAAUAUUGGACAAUGGGCGAAAGCCUGAUCCAGCAAUGCCGCGUGAGUGAUGAAGGCCUUAGGGUUGUAAAGCUCUUUUACCCGGGAUGAUAAUGACAGUACCGGGAGAAUAAGCUCCGGCUAACUCCGUG
rnacentral:rRNA from 1 species